UUUAGGGUGGCAGAGCCAGGUAUAAAUGCAAGAGGCCUAAGCCCUCUCCCCCAGAAGUUCAAACCUUCUCCCUAAUA
rnacentral:tRNA from 1 species